rnacentral:lncRNA from 1 species
GCUUUUCAGCAGGGAUAAGACUUAAGACAAUCUUAUCUGUUAUUUCUAUCAUUCUGAAGCAACAGAAUGGAAUGUCAGUUGAGAGCAGUAAAGGACUCUAAUUUACCUCACUUUUGUGCAAAGGAAGUCACCACAGACAAGCCAAGUUCCCCAUUUUUUUGGUCUAAUAAUUUUGAGAUCCAGGCUGUGUUUUAUGUGGGGAUGCUCAGGAUGAGGCAGCUAGAUAGAUACAGCCUUGGACCCUUGGAUGCUUCUUAGCUGUAUAACUGGGUAAGUCACUCAUCUUGUGUUUGCCUCAGAUUUCUCGCCUGUAAAAUGGGGAUAAAAACACCAACCUCUCGGGGUUGUUAUGAGGAUCAACCUCAGAUUAUAAUAUAAAUUUUAGUUAUAACCACAGGGUAGUCAGAAUGCACCAAAUGACAUUUUAUCAAUUUUUUGAAGGAUAAAUAAUUUGAAGGAUUCAGAAGAAAUAAAAGACAUGCAUGGCUACACUACCUGCUUUUUGUUCCUAGCCCAGUAUUAUUGUUGGAGAAG